UGUUCUCCUGUUGACGAUUACAGAUGGAGAUGCUCGCUUGCUAUGCCAAAUUAUCAGAUAUCUUGAUCAUCAGUUAUCAGUGAAGUGUUCUGAAAUAUUCAGUUUGGGUGAGUGCAAAUGAUUUAACUGCAUCACCUAAAGGAUCGUAGCAGAUUAUAUGCCACAGUCCACAGGCUAUAGGAGCAACUUAAGCAAAGAGAGUGGACUGUCAUUUUCUAAUGGAUGAAAUUCACCGACCUCUGUUCGUAGAUAAAAUGAACUGAUCCUGCCCUUUCUUCACACCUAGAACGACCUGAACUGGAGGCAAGCGGCAAGCCAAUGCCCUACCAACAUGACAUUCAUUUUUCAGACAAGAAAAGUCCAUCAUAGAGAUGAAGUGGCACACCUCUCCAAUAAUAUUUGUGCUAUUGGCAUUGUUUCUCAACUUGGACAUUAAAGUCGACGUGGUUGUAUGCUACAACCAGGACUCAGUUCACUUGGAUGCGAAGCUCUAUGCGAUGAUCAAGGGCCAGCUUAGCUUAUGCAAAUGACCAUGAGGUUCCACCUACUUUCACGCAAGAACUCCACUAUCUGAACAAGGAGGACAGGCUGCUUCGCUGGCUGGUUGGGAAGCAUGGAGACAUGGUAUACGGUCUGGAGUUCAUCAACGUGGAUGAUGGGAGGAACAAGAUGAGCGGGAUAUCGAAAUCGGCUCCGAUGAACCCGAAUUUGAGUUCCUCUGAUGGCUACAAGUUGUUCGAGGGGGAAGAAGAGAAGUAGAAUUGCCUGUCCAGGCUUCUGCAGUUUCAGUCUGUAUUGGUAUCUCUCGACCGUCGUGGCUUCCGCGCGGUUUUCUAUUGCUUGCGGUUUGCAUCAAUAACUUGGAAUGGUUUUAGUAAGAUAGAUUGGUGAUAUUACCCUUAUUGUGAAGUCUAAUGGUGAUUUUGCUCUCAGUUUUUAAA